rnacentral:rRNA from 1 species
AACGAACGCUGGCGGCAGGCUUAACACAUGCAAGUCGAGCGCCCCGCAAGGGGAGCGGCCGACGGGUGAGUAACGCGUGGGAACGUACCUUUUGGUUCGGAACAACUCCGGGAAACUGGAGCUAAUACCGGAUAAGCCCUAACGGGGAAAGAUUUAUCGCCGAAAGAUCGGCCCGCGUCUGAUUAGCUAGUUGGUGAGGUAACGGCUCACCAAGGCGACGAUCAGUAGCUGGUCUGAAAGGAUGAUCAGCCACACUGGGACUGAGACACGGCCCAGACUCCUACGGGAGGCAGCAGUGGGGAAUAUUGGACAAUGGGCGCAAGCCUGAUCCAGCCAUGCCGCGUGAGUGAUGAAGGCCUUAGGGUUGUAAAGCUCUUUUGUCCGGGAAGAUAAUGACUGUACCGGAAGAAUAAGCCCCGGCUAACUUCGUG